UACGAAAGGGGGGCGAGCGUUUGUUCGGAUUUACUGGGCGUAAAGGGCGCGCAGGCGGCAGACCAAGUCAGGCGUGAAAGCCCCCGGGCUUAACCUGGGAGGUGCGUCUGGGACUGGUAUGGCUAGAGUUCGGGAGAGGAGAGUGGAAUUCCCAGUGUAGAGGUGAAAUUCGUAGAUAUUGGGAAGAACACCGGUGGCGAAGGCGGCUCUCUGGACCGAGACUGACGCUGAGGCGCGAAAAGCGUGGGGAGCAACAGGG
rnacentral:rRNA from 1 species